rnacentral:rRNA from 1 species
UCGGGAAUUUUGGGCAAUGGGCGAAAGCCUGACCCAGCAACGCCGCGUGAAGGAUGAAGUAUUUCGGUAUGUAAACUUCGAAAGAAUGGGAAGAAUAAAUGACGGUACCAUUUAUAAGGUCCGGCUAACUACGUGCCAGCAGCCGCGGUAAUACGUAGGGACCAAGCGUUGUUCGGAUUUACUGGGCGUAAAGGGCGCGUAGGCGGCUUAACAAGUCACUUGUGAAAUCUCUGGGCUUAACCCAGAACGGCCAAGUGAAACUGUUAUGCUAGAGUGCAGAAGGGGCAAUCGGAAUUCUUGGUGUAGCGGUGAAAUGCGUAGAUAUCAAGAGGAACACCUGAGGUGAAGACGGGUUGCUGGGCUGACACUGACGCUGAGGCGCGAAAGCCAGGGGAGCAAACG